UCCUGGGAUAACACUGACGUUCAUGCUCGAAAGCGUGGGUAGCAAACAGGAUUAGAUACCCUGGUAGUCCACGCCCUAAACGAUGUCAAUUAGCUGUUGGGCAACUUGAUUGUUCAGUAGCGUAGCUAACGCGUGAAAUUGACCGCCUGGGGAGUACGGUCGCAAGAUUAAAACUCAAAGGAAUUGACGGGGACCCGCACAAGCGGUGGAUGAUGUGGAUUAAUUCGAUGCAACGCGAAGAACCUUACCUGGUCUUGACAUGUACGGAAUCCUCCAGAGACGGAGGAGUGCCUUCGGGAGCCGUAACACAGGUGCUGCAUGGCUGUCGUCAGCUCGUGUCGUGAGAUGUUGGGUUAAGUCCCGCAACGAGCGCAACCCUUGUCAUUAGUUGCCAUCAUUCAGUUGGGCACUCUAAUGAGACUGCCGGUGACAAGCCGGAGGAAGGUGGGGAUGACGUCAAGUCCUCAUGGCCCUUAUGACCAGGGCUUCACACGUCAUACAAUGGUCGGUACAGAGGGUAGCCAAGCCGCGAGGUGGAGCCAAUCUCACAAAACCGAUCGUAGUCCGGAUUGCACUCUGCAACUCGAGUGCAUGAAGUCGGAAUCGCUAGUAAUCGCAGGUCAGCAUACUGCGGUGAAUACGUUCCCGGGUCUUGUACACACCGCCCGUCACACCAUGGGAGUGGGGGAUACCAGAAGUAGGUAGGAUAACCGCAAGGGGUCCGCUUACCACGGUAUGCUUCAUGACUGGGGUGGAGUCGUAACAAGGUAGCCGUAGGGGAACC
rnacentral:rRNA from 1 species